AACAUUACACACAAGCUAAAUAUUAGAGAUACUUCAGAAAACAUACAGAACUAACAACCAGCCAACCCUCAAUGACAUUUGAUUUUUGAAAUCUAACCCGGGCCAGUAUAGAGCAUUCAAAAACUAAUCAAAGUCAGACAAGCCAUAG